rnacentral:rRNA from 1 species
UACGGGGGGGGGCAAGCGUUGUUCGGAAUUACUGGGCGUAAAGGGCUCGUAGGCGGCCAACUAAGUCAGACGUGAAAUCCCUCGGCUCAACCGGGGAACUGCGUCUGAGACUGAUGAGCUCGAGUGCAGGAGAGGAACGCGGAAUUCCAGGUGUAGCGGUGAAAUGCGUAGAUAUUGGGAGGAACACCAGUGGCGAAGGCGGCUCACUGGACCGGUACUGACGCUGAUGCGCGAAAGCGUGGGGAGCAAACGGG